rnacentral:rRNA from 1 species
UUAAUUGAAGAGUUUGAUCAUGGCUCAGAUUGAACGCUGGCGGCAGGCCUAACACAUGCAAGUCGAGCGGUAACAGGGGAAGCUUGCUUCCCGCUGACGAGCGGCGGACGGGUGAGUAAUGUAUGGGGAUCUGCCCGAUAGAGGGGGAUAACUACUGGAAACGGUGGCUAAUACCGCAUAAUCUCUUAGGAGCAAAGCAGGGGACCUUCGGGCCUUGC